rnacentral:rRNA from 1 species
CUACGGUGAAUACGUUCCCGGACCUUGUACACACCGCCCGUCAAGCCAUGGAAGCUGGGUGUACCUAAAGUCGGUAACCGCAAGGAGCCGCCUAGGGUAAAACUAGUAACUGGGGCU